rnacentral:rRNA from 1 species
AUUGAACGCUGGCGGCAGGCCUAACACAUGCAAGUCGAACGGUAGCACAGAGAGCUUGCUCUCGGGUGACGAGUGGCGGACGGGUGAGUAAUGUCUGGGAAACUGCCCGAUGGAGGGGGAUAACUACUGGAAACGGUAGCUAAUACCGCAUAACGUCGCAAGACCAAAGUGGGGGACCUUCGGGCCUCACACCAUCGGAUGCGCCCAGAUGGGGUUAGCUCGUAGGUGGGGUAAUGGCUCACCUAGGCGACGAUUCCUAGCUGGUCUGAGAGGAUGACCAGCCACACUGGAACUGAUACACGGUCCAGACUCCUACGGGAGGCAGCAGUGGGGAAUAUUGCACAAUGGGCGCAAGCCUGAUGCAGCCAUGCCGCGUGUAUGAAGAAGGCCUUCGGGUUGUAAAGUACUUUCAGCGGGGAGGAAGGCGGUGAAGUUAAUAACUUCACCGAUUGACGUUACCCGCAGAAGAAGCACCGGCUAACUCCGUGCCAGCAGCCGCAGUAA